AUAAGUUUAAUUUUUUAAGUAUUAGAAAGGUUUGAAUCAGUUUGAAUCAGUUCAAAUUAGUUUGAAAAAUUAAAUGAUAACUCAUCACUGAGUGACUUUAAAAUGUGAGAAAUCUAAAUGUAUAUAAAUCCUAAAUACACCCCACAAUGUCCUCAAUGAGCUCAAAUUUUAAAGCCCUGAAUGGUUUCUGUAGGUCAAAGGUCAUGUGAGGAGAUAGGGGCUGAAGUUUUUUCAAGCGCUCUAGUAAAAGGUUUUAAGUGUCAUCCCCAGUGCUAUGUGUGCUGAGCCUGGCUUCAUGUGUCUCAUAUGGCCAUUAGAGGCAGCUUUCCAGUCAGCUGUGUGUCUCCAGGUGCACUAAUUGGUUGCCAUGGGGACCUUGGAUGCAUACCUAUAGCAGGAGAAAGAAGGCUUGAAGCUAAGGAAACAGGACUCCAAGUAGGCCCUGACGCUCAUCCUCUGUAUCUAUUCCUGAUAAGGAGCUUGUGAGAACACAAGACUCUGCUAAACACAUUAAUACAAUUUAUUAUCACAAUCCUCAAAACACCCCAUAAUAUCUUCAAUGAGCUGAAUUUUUGAAGCCCAGAAUGGUUUCUGUAGCUCAAAGUUUGUGGGUGGAGAUAGGUGGUGAAGCAGACACAUAUUAACUGUGUGUACAAGCAGCUGAACUGCAAGGUGGACCUCAAAAAGCAACAAGUACAAGAAUGUGUGUGCGUGUGUGUGUGUGUCUCGUUAAUGACUGCAUCCUAAACAGCUGUGAGAUCAAAGGCAAAUCACUAACCUACUGUUUGACUGAGAGGUGCUGAACUGCAGUGAAUUUCAGCCUGUGAACUUCUUCACAUAGCGUGAUUUCCUUAAGUCCCAGAAUGAAAAUAAGAACAUCGUACGAAUCCUCCGUCCUUCAUGAACACAAUGAUGUCUUUUUCAUGUCUGUACUUCGAAAAAUGUGGCCACAACAGCGAGUUAAAAAAGUCUGAGCCUGAGUGGGGAUAAGGAUUUUCUUGGAGAAGAAAUACAUUAGGUCUAAUGGGGAGAGAUUUCCGCCUAUUUGGACAGUUGGUCACCUGCUGGCCAAGGGGUAGGAUUUAAUGAUUUGAAACCUCUUUUGUGAGAAGCAGGACACAUAUACCUCCAUUUUGAUGUAUUUUUUAUGGCUGUGGAGUGAGAUUUGUGGGCGUGGGAGCGAUAUAUUUGAGCGAGGUUCUGUCGAUCAGAGACGAGGUCUGCACUCUAGCUUUUCAAAUCAUCACUCUAGCCUCUCCAAUACACCCCUAUUAUAAAGCCUGAAAUUUGCUGAAAACCACAAGUUGCAUAAAGCUAAAUUGUGGAAAAACUGUAAAAGAUAGCACAAAGAGGUUAAUACAACAUCAAUAGUCGACAAGACAAUGAACAUUUUAAAGCAAAAAUGAGGUCUCUAGGUUAAAGUAUGCUGAAGUUAUAAGGUCUAGAAGGUGGACGAAUAACAGGAAGAAUUGAAAGAUUUCCCCAUUCAUUUCUAUGGGGAAAAAAGUUUGGCACAAAAAGUGAAAAAUAAUAAAAAGUAUAAAGGGUAGAAAAGAGAAAAGUAAUAGCCAUCAUGUCCUGAUGGAGCGGAAUAGUUUAAAGUUUGAACGGUUGAAAUCGGACAAAGUUUGAAGGAGGAGAAGCGGUCCAAAGAAACGUAUGGGGAGAGUGUUAAGUAUAAUACUAGAAAAAUUGCAUUUCCUUGCAGAAAAUGCGUGGAAAUGCUGAGUGCUGAAAGCUGAAAAAGCAAUGCUGAACUGCUAAUAAAACAUGGAGAAAGGUAUAAAUGUUAAAGCUGUUGAAGGGGUGAAAAUGAAAUAUAAGUUGGAUAACUGUUUAAUUGGUUGAAGUACAAAUAUUAUGAAUAUGCUCUAUAAAAGGAAAUUUGACAUUAACAGUAGUUGUCGUACUUGAGGUAGGAUUUUGUUUGAAGGACGGAAUAAUGCAUAAAUAUUAAAACUAAUAUAAACAGGGAAAAUUUUAUUAAUUUAAAAUCCUCAAGUAUCAGAAGGUUUUUAAGUAUUAGAAAGGUUUGAAUCAUUUUGAAUGAGUUUAAAUUAGUUUGAAAAAUGAAAUGAUAAAUCAUCACUGAGUGACUUUAAAAUGUGAAAAAUUUAAAUGAAUUUAAAUCCUAAAUACACCCCAUAUUGUCCUCAAUGAGCUUAAAUUUUAAAGCCCUGAAUGGUUUCUGUAGGUCAAAGGUCAUGUGAGGAGAUAGGGGCUGAAGUUUUUUCCAACGCUCUAGGAAAGGGUUUUAAGUGUCAUCCCAAGUGCUAUGUGUACUGAGCCUGGCUUCAUGUGUCUCAUAUGGCCAUUAGAAGCAGCUUUCCAGUCAGCUGUGUGUCUCCAGGUGCAAAAAUUGGUUGCCAUGGGGACCUUGGAUGCAUAACUAUAGCACGAGAAAGAAGGCUUGAAUGCUAAGGAAACAGGACUCCAAGUAGGCCCUGACGCUCAUCCUCUAUAUAUAUUUAUGAUAAGGAGCUUGUGAGAACCACAAAAACUGCUGAACACAUUAAUACAAUUUAUAAUCACAAUCCUCAAAACACCCCAUAAUAUCUUCAAUGAGCUGAAUUUUUGAAGCCCAGAAUGGUUUCUGUGGCUCAAAGUUUGUGGGUGGAGAUAGGUGGCGAAGCAGACACAUAUUAACUGUGUGUACAAUCAGCUGAACUGCAAGGUAGACCUGACAAAGCAACAAGUACAAGAAUGUGUGUGUGUGUGUGUGUGUGUGUGUGUGUGUGUCUCGUUAAUGACUGCAUCCUAAACAGCUGUGAGAUCAAAGGCAAAUCACUGACCUACUGUUUGAAUGAGAAGCAGCUGAACUGCAGAGGAUUUAGAGGCUCUAAACUUCUUCACAUAGCGUGAUUUCCUUAAGUCACAGAAUGAAAAUAAGAACAUCGUACGAAUCCUCCGCCCUUCAUGAACACAAUGAUGUCUUUUUCAUGUCUGUACUUCGAAAAAUGAGGCCACAACAGCGAGUUAAAAAAGUCUGAGCCUGAGCGAUGAUCCGGAUUUUCUUGGAGAAAAAUAACAUUAUGGUCAAUGGGAGAGAUUUCCGCCUUUUUUGGACAGUUGGUCACCUGCUGGCCAAGGGGUACGAUUUAAUGAUUUGAAACCUCUUUUGUGAGAAGCAGGACACAUAUACCUCCAUUUUGAUGUAUUAUUUGUGUCAGUGGAGUGAGAUUUGUGGGCGUGGGAGCGAUAUAUUCGAGCGAGGUUCUGUCGAUCAGAGACGAGGUCUGCACUCUAGCUGAUGACAUCAUCACUCUAAACUCUCCAAUACACACCCAUUAUAAAGCUUGAAAUUUGCUGAAAACCACAAGUUGCUUAAAGCUAAAUUGUGGAAGAACUGUAGAAGAUAUCAAAAAACCGAGUACAACUGUAAUAGUCGACAAGUGAGUGAACAUUUGAAAGCAAAAAUGAGGUCUCUAGGUGAAAGUAUGCUGAAGUUAUAAGGUCUAGAAGGUGGAAGAAUGAAAGGAAGAAGUUGAAGAUUUCCCCAUUGACUUCAAUGUUAAAAUUUUUGCACAAAAAGUUUAAAAAAUCAAAAAGUAUAAAAGGUAGAAGAGUGAAAAGUAAUAGCCAUCAUGUCCUGAAGGAGUGGAAUAGUUUAAAGUUUGAACGGUUGAAAUCGGACAAAGUUUGAAGGAGGAGAAGCGUUGCAAAAAAGGGACGGAAGAAUAAUAAUAAUAAUAACUAGAAAAUGCAAUUUCUGAAGAAAUUGCGAGUGGGAUUGCUUCAGUUGAAAUUGCUAGCGCUACGCUGCUAUUGCGAAUGGCUGAAUUUUAAAAUAUGUGAAAGGUCAAAAAGUAUGAAGUAUCAGGAAGAUUUGAAUCAAUUGGAAUAAACUCAAUUGAAUGAAUUGACUAAAUCAUUAAUAAAUUUUGAAAAUUCAAUGUGUGAAAGUUAAAAUGAUUAAAAACCCUGAAGCAUGGGAAAGGCUUGAAGAGUCAAUAAGGGUUGAAUCAGUUCAAAUGAGUUGGAAUUUGUUUGAAAGAACUGAAUAAUGCAUUAAGAGUAAAAAAUGAUUUAAAACUGGAAAAUUAAAAGGUUACAAAUCUGGAAGAAAAAGAGGUUUGAAGAAUCAAAACGGUUUAAAUCAGUUUGAAGGAGUGUAAAUUAGUUGGAAGAGUUAAAUAAUGCAUUUUCAAUGAAUGAUUGAAAAAGGGGGAAAUAUAAAUGAAUAAAAAUCCUUAUUAGACCCCAUAAUGUCCUCAAUGAGCUGAAUUUAUUGAGCCCUGGUUGGUUUCUGUAGCUCAAGGUUUGUGCCAAGAGAUAGAUGACAAAUUUCGUCAAAUAACUCUAUUGAAGGGUUUUAAAUUUAACCCCCAGUACUCUGUGUACUGAGCCUGGCUUCAUGUGUCUCAUAUGGCUGUUAGAAGCAGCUUUCCAGCCAGCUGUGUGUCUCCAGGUGCUCUUAUUGGUUGCCAUGGUGACGAUAGAUGCUUAACAACAGCAGGAGAAAGGAGGCUUGAGGCUGAGAAUGUAAUGCCCAAACAACGUCAUAUUUCUCAUCCUCUGUAACUGCUAUCUUCAUGAUAAUGAGCUUGUGAGAACCACAAGACCCGGCUGAACACGUUGAUACAACUUCUGUGUCUGUGGAGCCAAAAAUGCCUUCACUACGACGAGUUAAAAACAUGUCCAGUUUGUGUUUCCUCUGAAAAUCCUCCUCUCAGGUUUAUAUUGGAGUCAAUGGAGAAAGCUGGAGAAAUCUGGGGGAUGUCUGCGGCAGUUGGUGUCUGCCCAGGCCACUGUGUGUGUCCUAUGGCUUUGAUUUUUGACAUGAAGAGUGACAGCAAGUUUUGCCAUCACUGUACCAAUUUUUAUCUGUGUAGAGCCAAGUGAGUUGCCACAAUCCUUUUGUAAAGACAAAGUUUUGAGGAUCAAUUUUCAGCCUGUCUCACUCUAGCUGUGAGGUCACCCACUCUAGCUGCCAACAUUCCGUGCAAUACACACUAAUGUUAAAACCUGAACAGGUCUGAAAAUCUUUGGACUUUUUGAACUGUCACUGUGAGAAAAGUAUGAAUGCCAUGAAGAUGGUGAAUGAAUGAGUGAAUGUCUGAAGAUGUGUGAAUAUUUUAAAGUUUGAAUGAAGUUUCUAGGUGAAAGUAUGAAUGAAUGAGAAGAGGUUGAAGUUGACUACGUCUGAAGCCCUUUUCCCAUUGAAUCCCAUUAUAACGAAGUUUUAAACAAAUCUUAAUAUUUUGAAAAGUACAAAUGGGAUUAAAAAUGUUGAAGAUGUGGAAUAAUGCUGACGAAGUUGUGAAUAUUUUGGUUUUUGAAUGAAGUUUCUACGUGGAAGUAUAGAGGAGUUGAAGGCUUUUGAAGUUGUGUGAAGAAAAUGUGAGAAAAGGGCCAAUUUGAACAUUCCGUAAUGCAUUUCCAAUGGGAGAAAUCGGUCGGAAAACCUGGAAUAUCUCGGAAAGUAUGAAUGUUAGGAAAUUUUUGAAUACAAGCCGGAAUCUCCUGAAUGAGACGAAUCUUUUGAAGUUUGAAUGGUUUGAAUACGUUGAAGUAUGUGGAAGGAGAAGCGGUCCAAAAAACGGUGGAAGAAUAAUAAUAAUAAAGAUAUGAAUAACAUAUAGUGGGAAUGCUUCGCAAUCCCACUCAAUAAGUUUAAUAAAGAAACGGGAGAAUAACAAUAAGUGGAAAUGCCUAUCAGCAUUUCCACUUAACUAGAAAAAUUGCAUUUCCUUGCAGAAAAUGCGUGGAAAUGCUGAGUGCUGAAAGCUGAAAAAGCAAUGCUAAACUGGUAAUAAAACAUGGAGAAAGGUAUAAAUGUUAAAGCUGUUGAAGGAGUGAAAAAGAAAUAUAAGUUGGAUAAUGGUUUAAUUGGUUAAAGGACAAAUAGUAUGAAUAUGCUCUAUAAGAGGAAAUCUUAUUCAUGCUGAAAGAGGCUAGAAAAAUGUCUACAAUUGCACAAAGUUUGAAUGAAGAAGGAAAUUGCCUUAAAAGGCAGGAAGGUGAGAAGUGGCAUAAGUUUAAGUUGUAGUACUAGAAGUAGUAUGAUAAGAAGUCAAGUCGUGAUACUAGUAGUCAUGUCAGCAGUAGAAGUAGUUUAAGAAUAAAAGAAGUAUAAGUCAAAGUAGUAAAGAAAGUAGAAAUAGGAGCAAUAGCAGUUGAAGUAGAGGGGAAAGUUCUAGUUUAAUUGACAUAAGCAGUAGUUGUAGUACUUGAUGUAGGAUUUUGUUUGAAGGAUGGAGUAAUGCAUAAAUAUUAAAACUAAUUUAAACAUGGAAAAUUUAAAUAAUUAAAAAUCCUCAAGUAUCAGAAAGUUUUUAAGGAUUAGAAAGGUUUGAAUCAGUUUGAAUGAGUUUAAAUUAGUUUGAAAAAUUAAAUGAUAAAUCAUCACUGAGUGACUUUAAAAUGUGAAAAAUUUAAAUGAACAUAAAUCCUAAAUACAUCCCAUAAUGUCCUCAAUGAGCAUAAAUUUUAAAGCCCUGAAUGGUUUCUGUAGGUCAAAGGUCAUGUGAGGAGAUAGGGGCUUAGAUUUUUUCAAGCGCUGUAGUAGAGGGUUUUAAGUGUCAUCCUCAGUGCUAUGUGUACUGAGCCUGGCUUCAUGUGUCUCAUUUGGCCAUUAGAAGCAGCUUUCCAGUCAGCUGUGUGUCUCCAGGUGCACAAAUUGGUUGCUAUGGGGACCUUGGAUGCAUAACUAUAGCA
rnacentral:lncRNA from 1 species